ensembl:lncRNA
AAAAAAGGGUUAUCAUCCAACCAUACAUGUUUACAUAAAGUCAUAGCAAAAAUGACAUAUUUUUGGUGGGGUGAUUUUUCAUGGUGCCAUAAAAUAUUUGCCAACGUCUAAAUAGCACUGUUCCCCCAUGUUCCAUGCCCUCUCCCUGUCACACAUAGGCCAGAACACACACACACCUACACACAUGCAUCCACACUCACACACCCAAACCCUUUAAACCAAAUUUAAUACUCACUGGCAUUAAAACUACUUAGCAGCUCUACCGGACAAUGGCCACAGGGACAGUCACAGGAUGUCUUGAGCCCGGCGCAGGCAUGACGGCUGGACGGUUCCGGGCAGGGAGCCCCUGUCCCGGCCGUGCGGCGGGCGCGUGGCCAGCCCAAGCGCGCAGAGUCAGCAGAGUCGCUGCCUAGCGAGCGCGGAGACCGACAGGUGCUCUUAUCUCCCGCGGCGGCGGCACGUGAGGUCGGCUCCUUGCAGAGCAGGGUCUCAAUGGGAGGCCUUUAGCUUCGUGGCCUUUCCUUCUGACCACCCAGCAGGAAAAUAUACAGAAGGGUUUUUUUCUGCGAGUUUGUCAUUGUUAAAAAACCCACAACAGCAUUGAAACUGUGUAUUUCGCUCAGGUGGGCUUCUGGCCUGUGAAUGUUUAAUGCAAUCAUAGUAAACCAUUAAUUUUCUUUGGUGUUAAACUUUUUGCCUUUUCACCUUAUAAAACCAUUCAGGCUAAAUAACCUUAUUACAAUGGAAUUAAGCAUUGUAGCCUGGUUCCCAAAACCGACAUUGGUGGCAAAACCCGCUGAAUUGGAACACACACCAGGCAGUACAAACUUGUGCUAGAUUUUGACUUUAAAAUCAACUUAAUGUAAACUGUACUUUGUGCUGAUUUUUACCUUAUUAUCACAUCUACUUUCUCUUAUGGCGUUUAAAAUAGGCCCUGACUGCAAAAGAACAAAUGUGAAAGAACAUUUUGAUUACAAUUUAGGUGACAUUUACUCUGAUUGGGGGUGUAAUUUACGGCAAUUAUGCAAGUACCUUUUAUGUCCCACUUCCAGUUCAUCCUGUUUUGCUCUGAUUUCAGCAACCUCUCUUGAUUAGGAUUCUGAACAAAAUAAGUAUAGAAAGGAGGAGUCCAGGAUGACUUUCAAAAGUGACAAAUCAUCAUUGAACACAGUUUUUAAAUUGCUAAUUGAAAACAUUUCCCUCUUUUCAGCCGCCAGAGAGGCCUGAUUAUUUAAGCGACAAAUUCUGCCUUAACCACCCCCCUUGCCCGAACCACAUAACACUCCUCCUUCCCCUCCUUCCCCCAAAAGGCAACAUUUUGGCCUGGCAACCAGUACGACUCGCUGAGCCCUUCCAUUUAAAUGCCCCACAAAGAUUGUGUCUGAUCACUGCCUGGGUUUAAGAAAGAAAGAAAGAAAAUCAGGAAUCAGACACAGGCGAUGUCCCAGUCCUCUCUCCCCUGCCCCCUCCAUUCUUCCAUUCUCUCCCCCACCAUCCGCACAUGAAAUAAAAGAGAGCUGAGCCAAACUGGUUACAGAAAAGGCACCCCGAGAUCUGGGGAAUAAGUUUGCCCUUACUUAGCUCACGCUGCAGCUGUGCUCUUAUCUGGCCAAAAGAGACAGGGGACAACAAAAGACCCCAAAGAACGGACGGUGGAUGCAUGGGAAAACCACUGCCUCGGCAUUGUGGUGCCCUUCUGCUGAGCAAAUAGUUCAAACUGUUCAUUCCCAUCUUCUAUUCUCUCCCUGGUACAUUGUUUGUGCCCUUGCAUUUCAUUCUGCAAGGAAGGUUGCCUUCUGGGCCUAUAAGCAAACAGUCCAGAAAAGAGCUAGCCAUCCUCUUCCCUUCCCCGGAGAACUAGCAUUUUUAUUUCGGCUCCAAGCUGUCAAAGACCUGGAGAGUUUAUGUCAGUGUCCUGAAUUAAUUGCUUUAAGCUGGAGCAAGCGCACAGGCUACCAAAUGUCCAGAAGAUGUUUAUUAAUAACGUUUCCUCCAGGAUUCUGGCUCGGAGCUGUCCCUUGAUGGUGGCCUUUAUCCGGCUGCUACCCCGUCACCCCUGGCCUCUUGGUGUUCAGGGGGGGUCACUUCUUUCAUUCAUCGUGAAAAAAUUUAGAAUUGCCCGGGGUGAAAAAAAUAUCCACCUCUGUAAGAGGCGGUGUGUGAUGGACAUCUUUGUUCUGGCCCAGGGAAGUCCCAGAGUUAGAGAAACCACGUGGUGACACUGAAGCGCGCUGGGGGAGAGAAAGCCGCAGGGACCCUCCUCUGUGGAAGCGCAUUUAGCCGAUACAAUUAGCAAAGGGACAGAGGGAAUCUGCCCAGUCCGCUCCCCCUCCCACCGCCUCUCCCAAAAGAAAAUUCAGUAAGGCUGACAGCAUGUUGUAUUUGGAAGUUUUCCUGGUACCAAAAAAAAAAAAAAAAAAAAAAGCCUCUUUAAUAGAAUGAAAUAAUAAACCAAUUUAUAUACCAAUAUAAGACCAGGAUCGUGAGUGCCAUUGUGUAAUUUUCCACUUGACUUUUCAUUAUCUACCUGAACAAAAUCAAUCUAUAUGUAUGGGAUCAACAUACAAUUCCGGAGAUAAAAGCUGAAAAUAAAUGUGCUUUGCAUAUCCUGGAGAUAAAAGACACAGUCCUCGUACUGCCUUUUCUUCUCUGGCAGAUGCAUUUAUAAAAGUGUGUCAAGGAAAAAAACAAGACAUAGUGGUGGCUCUUGAGCGUUGACUCCUUUGCUGGAAAUAUUGAUCCCACAAACGAGCAGUGGUUAAUAAGCGCCCUGCAGACCAGAGAGGUCUUUUGCCCUGGUUUAUCUAGAGUGCAGGCUGGGUCAAGGCUUCUCCCAGCCAAACCUCCCCACCCUGCAAGAAAAGCCUCCCCCUGUUAACAUGGAUUUAAGGCUGAGGACUUCAAGGGCCUUCUGAAGCCUCUCCACGGACACAAAGCACACUGAAAAAUCACAUUUUGUUAGAAACCCCGUGCAGCAAAUGGCCAGCUUGUGAAGGACACUCAGUCUCAAAAAGGGAGGGAGAGGUGCCCUGCGCCCCUUGGGGUUGACAUUUCUUACUUUAAACGAGUUGAGUUCCAUCCCUUUUAGCCUCUUCCUCACCCCAAGAAUGAGGAAUGGUACUCAGAACAGUACUGCUCUCUGCAUGCUGGCCAUGCUGGUCCUGGGGACUCCCUUCCUUUUGGAAUGUCAGUCAGCACUGCAUAUGUGUGCCAAUGUGGGCAGAUGGCAGAGGCAUUGGUGGGUGUGCCUUGGGCUGUUCGUGUCCUGUUAUGUUCAGGGCUCCUUGGGGGAAAAGUGAGCCUGCUCUGCCCAUUCGGGGGCUCACAGCCGUUUAAACGUCGGCCACUACUCUCCUUUCCAUGAGGCAGGGGCUCAUCUCCCAUGUUUUAUCAGCCAGCAAAGAAAGCCCUACAAAGGGUGGGUACUGGAUCAUCUUUUGCCCCAAACAAUCACUCUGAAUUAGUGGACUUUUCCUCAUCAUUGAAAAGUAAUGAUGUCUUAGGCCAGUUGCUUACUCUUAGUUGAGAGAUUCAUAAGAAUUCACCAUUCACCAUUAUUCAUUCAUGGUAAGCUUUGGUAACUUCAGGGGAGGUUAAAUGUCCACUUGGGCAAUGUAACUGUUACAACCUCAAUUUGUCCAGCAGGACAAGUCAACACUUUUAUAUUUAAAUGUCUUUGUGUUGACAAAUUCUAAUAGUUGGUGGCCUGGUGGUUUGGUACAAGUCUGCGCAUCUCAACUUUUAUGCGCCCUCUUUCCUUAUCCUGAGAACUCCAUGUUCUCGCCCAGCACACAUCUGGACGUGGCCCGUCGCCUCUCUGCUAACGGGCUGCUUUUGUGUCUCAUUCCUCAGUUGAUAUUCAUAGGAAACUCUGAGGAAAGCAUCCAGGAGCAAUCUGGCAGCAGGGGUAUGCCCUUUUGGGACACUCGUGAUGGUCAAGGGUCAGCGUGGAGAGAAGCUCAUGCACUUUCAGUCAGAUGGGGCCUUAGGAAAACAAAUGUCCUGCUUCCAUCUCAUCUUUUUGUUCCAGCAGCUGUGAAUAAGCAAAUUUAGAGAAAACAUAAGAAUGGAGUCAAGAAGAGUUAGGCAGUCAUUAGAAUUUUGUUGGAAAAUUGAACUAUAUCCUGAUGGCAUGUUUUGAAAAUUCCCUGUAUUCCUCAUGACAAAAUUGACACCUCCUAUGCUUAGAGCAUCAGCCUCAGUGAACUCAAGGUAUGUUUUAUCCAUGGUUUAAUUACUCCAUGAUUUAAACACUUAAUUAGCAUCCUAGAGAACCAGUACGAUAACACAUCAGCUUCAUCCAUCACACAGAAAAUCCUUUAGGAGUUCUGUACCCCCUGCACUCCAUGAGGGAAGAGAACACGCCAGAAAAGGGUGUUUCUACUUCCACAGACACAUUUGCUCAUGCUGGGAAAUGUCAUUGUUGAGAGACAUUAGAACUAUCUUCUUAGUCAGGGACACCAUUCCAUGCAUAAGCAGAAUGCUGACACAGAGUCAGACUGCAAC